CAAAUAGUAUAGGUUUAUAAAACCAACAUACUAAGCAGUUUGUGUUAAAGGAGGAAAAGCACUGCUACAGAACAAUUAUAGUUAAAUGGGUCGCUAUAUCCACUUGCUUUUUAUUUUUCAGAAAUGCUCUAUUUCUCGUUUGUCAUCUAUGCUCAAAGUAGGGAUAGUUAUGGGAACUGCAAAGAAACAGCAGAACUUUGUAUAGUUAAUUCUGGUUUUCUUUAACCCCUUAAACCUGUUGCUGGAAUCUGGAGCUGUGGUCACCAUAUAAACCAAGGUUAAUGGGAGACUCAAGACUUACUGGAACAUUGGAAUCACAGGAAUGUGUAAUCGUGUUUUUAAAAUGUGCAUUGAAGUGCAAAAUACAAUUCACUCCGGUUAUCUUUGCAGCAUUUUACUUGAAAGCUAAUGUAUCAAUGGUUGAGAGAUGGCUGGAGAUAUGGGCAGUGUCUGUAUAUGUGUUCCAACAUUUUACCGAUGCAUACAUAGAAGACCCAAACAAUUGUAAAUGUAUUUGUGAUAAUACAAUUUAUCUUGCAAAUCACAUUUUACCUGUGUUAUUCCAAGACCAAUAAUUACAUGGUUACAAUCACUUUUAUGUAACAUUGCUAUGUAGACUUCAAUCAAUUCUCUGCAGCUCUGUUUUUACAUAGCACAUUCACCGGCUUAAUUCAACCUGAUGAAUUCAGCGUCCAGCAAUACAAAAAUUAGCCGUGCAUCUAUUGUGUUUAAUUACCUGCUAUUCUGCAUACAAGCAGUCUCUUGUUUUCUGCCAAUGGCCACGAGUCAGUGCUUGGGAAUAUUUUGUUGCAAAUUCUGUUUUAAAAUACAUUUCUUCCUACAGUCAUAUGGUAGAUCAGGGAAUUGGAAUCCUGUGCCAGCUAACAUAAAUAAGAAUGACAUGACACAAUUAAAAUGCAUUGUAGACUGAAAGAAUGUAAUAUUUAUUUAUAUAUUAUAUAAAUUGUGAUUAAAUACUUUGUGUCAUCCAA